rnacentral:rRNA from 1 species
CAGUAGCCGCGGGAAUACGGAGGGAGCUAGCGUUGUUCGGAAUUACUGGGCGUAAAGCGCGCGUAGGCGGUUACUCAAGUCAGAGGUGAAAGCCCGGGGCUCAACCCCGGAACUGCCUUUGAAACUAGGUGACUAGAAUCUUGGAGAGGUCAGUGGAAUUCCGAGUGUAGAGGUGAAAUUCGUAGAUAUUCGGAAGAACACCAGUGGCGAAGGCGACUGACUGGACAAGUAUUGACGCUGAGGUGCGAAAGCGUGGGGAGCAAACAGGAUUAGAUACCCGCGUAGUCCCUGUCUCUUAUAA